rnacentral:lncRNA from 1 species
AUGGCUAAUAUCAGAAUGAGCAAAGAAAAGUCAUCUGAUCCAGUUGGUUCAUCUACUCAAUCUGAUAUUAUUAGAAACCAUAUUCAGGGUGAAACAACCGAACCUCCACCUCUAUUAGAACAAACUAAUGAAGUGAAUAAUGAUGAAGAAAAUGAUAAUAAGAAAAACAAAGUUGGAGAAGCUUCAACAUUGACCACACCCAAUGAUCCUAAUGUUGCAGUUGGGUUUUCAGGUAAUAGAAAACCUGUUAACCUAGAUUUUGGACUUGGGAAUAUUUUACAAAAAUAG